AAAAAACAUGAUUUGUGCAGCACAGAGUGUGGAAUAAGUAGCUCCUUUGAAAUGUGUGCUUUGAUUUGCUAGAUCCAGACAUGUUUUCUGCAGCAGACAGAACAGGACGAUCCAUGUCUGUCUUUAUUUUUUUUACUAAAGACAGUGUGCCAGCCCGAAAGCUGACUCCAUUUAUUUCUCCUGCAGGAAGCCAGCAUGUUCCUUCUCCUGGAAGAUGCAGGGAUUGAACUCAGGACCUUGAGGUUUCAAGGCAGGUAGCGGAACCACUGGGCUAAAUCCCCAGCCCAUGGAAUUUUUCAAUGAACGUGUAGUAAAUACCAGUUCCAACCCAUCUAGCUCAAGGGAAGUCUGUGGAAAUGAACUGGAACUCAAUGGCGUCAGUGGAAGGCUGUACUGGUAGACUGCCAUCAGCAGCUUGGAGCCCUCCCUCUCUGCCAAGCUACCAGUGGGCCCUGCUCUAGUCACUAGCUAAUGAGGAGCCUCAACAUUAUUUUGUGGUCUGUCCCUCUCAGAUAAAGGGAAUUACCAUCCAGCCAUAUGCUUAAAGAAGACGUUUAUGACUGAUCCUUAAUAUCCCUGCUUCUUCAAGCCUACUUAUAAUUAGUAUUUAGGUGGUGGCACCACUGAGAUAGAUUCCCAGCCCAACAGCAUGGAGCAGGACAUCAGGAUCCGCUGCAGAGGUCUCUGAUAAUAGUUCAGUGAUAUGGUGGUGCAUGCCCGGGACCCCCACACUUGAAGGACUGAAGCAUGAGGAUUGCUGCAAGUUUAAGGCCAGCAAGGACUACAUAGUGAGACUCUGUUAAAACUACAAAACAAAACAAAAAGAGGCAAAAUGCAUAGGAAGCAUACAGGAAUCAGGAGACUAACAUGGUCAGAGAUUCCAGUGACUGUCUAGAAUCAAAGUUUUCUCAACAAGCUGAAACCAAAAAGAUGAUUAUAACCUGGAAAACAUGUCUCUGGAACCUUUUGAUAGAGUCAGUUUGGAAUGCAAAGCCUUCACAUCAUGAAAAGUAGAAAGGCUGACGAGCACUCUGAUGUUCUAAAUCUAAGCUCUCUGGUUACCUGUGUCAGAGGACCUGCCUCAUGCUCAUGCCUCAGUCUCAUCACCUCAGCCCUUACCUCUUCCUCACUCAGCUCCUGAGGACAAACUGGGAGGAAGAAAUUGAGUUGGAGAGAAGUGAAUGAUUUGUUCAAGGUUAUAGAGUCUGUGCAACUCUGUUACAGAAGGACAAAAUGGACUAAGACAGCUAUCAAGACUGCAUCCUCAGUGGCAGGUAGUUGAGACUGAGAGGAUCCAGGGUGGCAAGACUUUCACGCACACUUCAGAAUAAUGAAAAACAGUUAUUGGGAAAAUGUCAUGUCCUCACAGCUCACUCUACAUGCUGCUACUAAUCUUAUUUGUACAAGUACAGGCAUAAAUCCACUAACAACAGACAGCAGCUCUUUCCCUUUGUUACAAUUUAGUAUUGAUUUCUGUGCAGGAAGGUUGAAAUGAAUCCCAGAAUGGGUUUAAUUACGAAUAUACACAAAAAAGUAAUUGGCACAAUAAGUGAGGAGUUCGUUAGCAGGUUGCUUUUUUUUUUUUUUUUUUUUUUAACAGAAUUAUAGUAUUCUCCUCAAUCAGCAGUAGUAAUCAACAAUGAAGAAAUAAAAAAUAGAGUCCUUGGCCCUACAUAAAAUUCAUUUCUCUUUCCUCUUUUUGUCAAUUUCUACAAAAAAGUUGCAAUGCCAUGCCUGUUUCUUGGUAUACCAAUGUUAAUAAUGACAUAAUAAAUGCCAAACUGGAAACUUGAAUUAGAAUGAGGCAUGGAAGAAAGAGGGUGAACAGUAUGUAUUCCCCAUUAAAAUACAGGAGGAGGCUGCCUUCCAAAACUGAUCUGAGUCUGAUAUGAGGUAAGCUAUCACUCUAUUUGUCAGCAUUUUUACAUUUUUGAUAGUCUUUCAAAUAGCUCUAAAAACUUACCUCAAUGCUAUCUUGUCUACUGAUGGUUUUUAUAUUGUAAAUAGAUGAGUCUGAAACUUCAUUUCACAAUGUGUUUCUUUCCUCACAGGUCGAUUGUGUUUCCACUAUCUCACUUUGUUCUGGGGACGCAAAUUGGUUUCUUGGGUCAUGCUGUUAUUAAUAUGAUUUUUUAAAAAAUAAUUGAAUUUAACACCAAGGUCGGUUGAGAAAACAAGCAAAAUGAAAAUGAUAAUUCUUGGUGUGAAAACAACAAAAAGUGAAAUGGAACACAAUGGUCUUCAUUGGUUACUUCAAAAUGUCUGAGAUAUGUUGGGCUUAUUAAUGGUAUAAUAUAGCAGAAAUGGGGCUUGCUGAGGCAUUGCUGUUCAUAUGAAUGGUCCAUUAGAAAUCAUGAUAGGCCAACAAGAAAAACUUCAUGGAUUUAUUUAGUUUUUUGCCCCUAAGUGUAGUGUUUCUUUCUCAUUACAGAAGUAUUUUCUGUAAUAAAUCAAUGUUAUAUUUUUGUUAUAAAAUUAAUAAUAAAUUCCUAUGAUUAUGAGGUUUGUCUCUGCCAGUAUGGG
ensembl:lncRNA